GUUAGAAUGGCAGAGUCCAGUAAUUGCAAAAGAUCUAAAAUCUUUUACCCAGAGGUUCAAUUCCCCUUUCUAACU
rnacentral:tRNA from 1 species